UAGUGUGUGGUUGUAGAAUAAAAGUUCAGCUAGUGACUGAGCACUGGUUGAAGUGAUGUCAGGAUUCUUAUGAAGAUAUAAGUCAGUAAUUGUUUUAUUAUUAAUUAAUGAUUGUGUUAGUGCAAUGACUCCAUCAUCAUUGAUGGAAUCAUCACUGAUCCCUAGUCUCUCUAAUGAAGUAUUUUUUGUUAUUUUGUGAGACAGUGAGAGGAUGACAUCUUUUGUUAUUUUAGUGUUAAAUAUACUAAUCCUCUUUAUUGUUCUUAUGUCUAGUACUUGAGACAUCAUCAAGUAUACAAUAUCAGGUGAUGAGUGAUAGAGGUAAAUGCCCUGAUGACUGUCUGUUAAUUGACUGAUCACUUCCUGACAUUGACCUGCUGAUGGUUUAGUGAGGGUUACUCUAUUACCGAUCCACUCCACCUCUCCAGUCUCUUCUCCUAAUAAUAAACACAGUGAUGCUGGUUUUUGUACCAGUAAGUCAUUACAGCUGCUAGGAUGGAAUGGGUGUGGUCUAUCUUUUAUCAUGUGACAGGAAACAAAAAUCAAUUGUGAAGGUCACUGUAGUACUUAUAAACUGAUU